GGAAACAGGAUUUAACAUUUAUUUCAACCAGUUCCAAAGUUCAUCUCACAUUUCCUUGACCAUUUGUGUAAUCAAUUUGUUAGCACUCAGUAGAAACUAGGAAAAAUGGAUCUGAUCUUUCUUUUACAUUUCAUGUAAUUACUUCUAUUUAGCAGAGGUGGAACAGAUUCUGCAAACCCUAGCAGAUUUUUUAUAAACAAAAUUAUGUAGUGAUUCCCAAAAGGAGGAUUAGAAUUGAACUCCUGUAGGAAAAUUACCUCUCUGCUUUGUUUUUAGGACAUGUAAAAAUUACUUCGACAUUUGCUUUUGCCAGCAGAGGAGUCCAUUAAAUACAAUGAAUCUCUUUGCUCAUGUUAGGAAGAGGAUGAUAGAGAAGAUGACCCUUUCUAAAGAUUAAAUCUCUGAAGGCUUUGGCUGUCUCAAUCUCCAUUGAAGUCACUGGGAUCUGAAGAUGCUCACAACUUUCUUAUUACGGUGCUGUUUGCUCUAAGUGUUAAUAUGGUCAAAGGAAGACUACCCACCAAAGACUGUAAGGAACAGUAGCAAAACCUU
rnacentral:lncRNA from 1 species